GGAGGGGUGGGUGAGUGGUUGAAACCGCCGGUCUUGAAAACCGGAAAGCGCAAGCUUCGCGGGUUCGAAUCCCGCCCCCUCCG
rnacentral:tRNA from 1 species